UACGAAGGGGGCUAGCGUUGUUCGGAAUUACUGGGCGUAAAGGGCGCGUAGGCGGUCCUGAUCGUCGGAUGUGAAAGGCCUGGGCUCAACCUGGGAACUGCAUCCGAUACGGCGGGACUGGAGUGUGGGAGAGGUUGGUGGAAUUCCCAGUGUAGAGGUGAAAUUCGUAGAUAUUGGGAAGAACACCGGUGGCGAAGGCGGCCAACUGGACCACAACUGACGCUGAGGCACGAAAGCGUGGGUAGCAAACAGG
rnacentral:rRNA from 1 species